AAUUGUGUACCACUGCAUAACUUCGAUUAUGUAUAUAGUUAUCUCAUGGAAACAAACAUCAGCUUUGUUGACUCUUUCGAUGAUCCUGGUCCACAUGGAGCAGGUAGAUACUCUGAGCAUAUGUUACCUGAAAUCGUCAAGAGGGAUUGGAGAAAGGGUGCACAGUGGUUCACGGUGAAACGGCAGCAUGCAGUUCUUAUACUUGUUGACACUCUUUACUAUGGAAAGUUCAAACGUUACUGUAAGGUAAAUAUCAG